rnacentral:rRNA from 1 species
UACGGAGGGUGCAAGCGUUAUCCGGAUUCACUGGGUUUAAAGGGUGCGUAGGUGGGCAGUUAAGUCAGUGGUGAAAUCUCCGGGCUUAACCCGGAAACUGCCAUUGAUACUAUCUGUCUUGAAUACCGUGGAGGUGAGCGGAAUAUGUCAUGUAGCGGUGAAAUGCUUAGAUAUGACAUAGAACACCAAUUGCGAAGGCAGCUCGCUACACAUAUAUUGACUCUGAGGCGCGAAAGCUAGGGGAGCGAACAGG